GAACGUCCUGCGCUUCUUCGUGGAGCCAUGGAGUGGCGGACGGGUGAGUAUCACAUGGGUGACCUGUCCCUCAGUGAGGGAUACCGUGCGAGAAAUCGCCGACAAGCCCGCAUAGGCUCCCUGUCGUGAGGACGGAGAGCAAAGCUUUUGGUGCGCGAGCACGAUAGGCGCUGAGGGAUGGGCCUGUGGCCGAUAAGCUGGUUGGUGGGGUAAGAGCCUACCAAUGCGACGAUCGGUAGCUGGUCUGAUAUGACGAUCAGUCUCUCUGGGAUUGAGAUCGGUCCAUACUCCUACGGGGGGCAGCAGUGAUGAAUUUUCCGCAAUGGAUGCAACUCUGACGGAUCAUCGCCGCGUGCAGGAGGACGCGCUUCGGCGUGUAAACUGCUUUUCUGCGGGACGAGAUAGGACGGUACCGUUUGAUGAAGCCCCGGCUAACUACGUGCCAGCAGCCGCGGUAAU
rnacentral:rRNA from 1 species